rnacentral:tRNA from 1 species
AUUCAGAUAGAUUAAUUAAAUCGUAUCAUUGAAGAUGAUAAAAUAAGUAUAUUUUUGAAUA